rnacentral:rRNA from 1 species
GCAAGCGUUAUCCGGAAUUAUUGGGCGUAAAGAGCUCGUAGGCGGUUUGUCGCGUCUGCCGUGAAAGUCCGGGGCUCAACUCCGGAUCUGCGGUGGGUACGGGCAGACUAGAGUGAUGUAGGGGAGACUGGAAUUCCUGGUGUAGCGGUGAAAUGCGCAGAUAUCAGGAGGAACACCGAUGGCGAAGGCAGGUCUCUGGGCAUUAACUGACGCUGAGGAGCGAAAGCAUGGGGAGCGAACAGG